AGUCACUCAAUGGUGCUUUGCUGUCAAUACAAUCUGCCUCAUCGGAUUUACCACGGUCGUCUAGAUCAACCUCAGCAACUAAAUUAUCAGCUUUUGCAACACUGUGAAGUUGAAAGUGUAUCAUACCUGGAUGAGGUGGCCAGCAACACAGCAACUCAAGAUAUGGCACACUCUGUUGGACUCGAGUUUUUGCAACUCUGUGAAGCUGAAAGUGUAUCAUACCUGGAUGAGUUGGCCAGCAAUGGCAACUCAGGAUAUUGCAAAGUUUGUUGGACUUGAGGUUCCUGCAUUCAAGACACUCCAAUAACUCCCUCCAAUAACUCCCUCCAAGGCAAGUUACCAGAAGGGGCAACUUGAGCUUAAUACAAAGCUCUUGACAAAUGCCGUCUUAUAUGCUUCAAAUUAUCUCAUUCAUCAUGAAGUGUGUUUAUAGGGUUUGUAUUUUGUGUAUGUAUUUUGUGUAGUGCAGGCAUUGUGUAGUGUUUUUUUGUAUGUAUGUGUAAAGUGUGUAUUUGUGUAGUGCAAGCAGUGUGUAUAUUUUAUGUA